rnacentral:lncRNA from 1 species
AAAGGAUCAAGGCUGGACCUUUGGGGCUGAGACUGGACCACUGCAGUCAAGGCUGUGCCCUUGCAGGUCAAGGCUAACCCAAAAGGUCCGCGGCUGGUCUAGUCAGGACUGAGGCUGGACCAGUGGAGCCCAGGCAGGACCCAUAGGGGUUGAGCCUAACCCAGCGGGGCCAAGGCUAGACCAGUAGGAACCGGGCUGGACCAGUGGGACUGAGGCUGGUUUGACAGGGCUUGCUUUUGCCCAAGACAGUUGUAAAUGGGUAGGGGCACCCCAAGGCCACUGAAUCGGGAGGUGGGUAUAGCCCUGCCGCCCCACUGACUGCCUGAAGGGUGGGUCGGUCCCCAGCUGAGUCCCGAGAGUGCAGAGGAGUACAUUGAGUACCUCAAGUCAAGUGACCGGCUGGAUGAGGCUGCACAGCGCCUGGCCACUGUGGUGAACGACGAGCGUUUUGUGUCUAAGGCCGGCAAGUCCAACUACCAGGUGGGCCUGCCGGGAGCCGAGUGGGUGGGAGGGCCACCCCCCUCAGUGACUGAGCCUGAGACUCUCCCCCCGCUGCCCCAUGCCCUGCAGCUAUGGCACGAGCUGUGCGACCUCAUCUCCCAGAACCCGGACAAGGUACAGUCCCUCAAUGUGGACGCCAUCAUCCGCGGGGCCUCACCCGCUUCACCGACCAGCUGGGCAAGCUCUGGUGUUCGCUCGCCGACUACUACAUCCGCAGCGGCCACUUCGAGAAGGCUCGGGAUGUGUACGAGGAGGCCAUCCGGACGGUGAUGACCGUGCGGGACUUCACACAGGUGUUUGACAGCUAUGCCCAGUUCGAGGAGAGCAUGAUCGCUGCAAAGAUGGAGACCGCCUCAGAGCUGGGGCGCGAGGAGGAGGAUGAUGUGGACCUGGAGCUGCGCCUGGCCCGCUUCGAGCAGCUCAUCAGCCGACGGCCCCUGCUGCUCAACAGCGUCUUGCUGCGCCAAAACCCACACCACGUGCACGAGUGGCACAAGCGUGUCGCCCUGCACCAGGGCCGCCCCGGGAGGUGCGUGAAGCCUGCCCUGGUCCUCCCCGAGGGCCAGUUUCCUGCAGAACUGGGGAGCCACCCACCUUCACCCGUAAUGUCACCUCCUAGGGGCCUGACUGUGCUUAGUAGGUCCCAUUCCACCCAUGUUCUUGGGGUUCUUGUCCUGCUCUAGCCCCGCCCCUCAGAGCCACAGCUCCCUCCUAGCCCCACCCCUUGGAGCGCCACUGCUCUCUCCCGGCCCUGCCCAUUAGGGCCACAGCUCUCCUGACCCUGCCCCUUGGGGACCACAGCUCUCUCUUGGUCCCGACCCUUGGCAGGGGCCACAUUUCCUUCCUGGCCUCUCCUGACAGGGGCCACAGCACCCUCCAGGCUCCCCCCUCAGAACCACAGCUCUGCCCCGACACUCAUCUGCAGGGUCCUGAGUCCCAUAUGACCCCUCUCUCCUGUCUCCAGAUCAUCAACACCUACACAGAGGCUGUGCAGACAGUGGACCCCUUCAAGGCCACAGGCAAGCCCCACAC